rnacentral:lncRNA from 1 species
AUGACAGCAGUGCUCUCCCUUUCCCUUUUCCUAAUAACAGGAUCUCGAGCCUCAGAGGAUGUGGAAGUGUCAGCUGCUCCAGCUCUGAUACAGGAUCUUCCUAUGUGCCGACCAACACCUGUGUACUGCCCAGCGCCCCCUGGCUGGUAUGUGCAUCAUAUAGUUACAAGUAGCCCAUUACCACCAUCCGAUAUUCCAGAAUCAGAAGUUCAAAUUUCAACAACUAAUCAAGCUCCUACUCUACUGAAAGAACCAGAAGCUGCUUUGGCAAAACCAAAACAAGCCACUAAAAAGAAAGAACCACCAGUGCCUAAAGAAAAAGCCAAAGUAGCUCCUACAAAGAAGGACCCCACAGUUACUAAAGCCAAAGUAAAACCUUCAGUGGCAAAGAAAGAGCCAACAGCUGUGAAAGAGAAGUCUAAAAGGACAGAGCGAAUGAUCUCUAAAGAAAAGGCUAAACCUACCUCUACUAAGAAAGAAGAGAAAGCUGUAAAAGAAGUGAAGCCCAAAGCAGAGGUCAAAAAGAAGGCUGCACCAACACCGAAAGUCAAUCAAGCCACUGAAGAAGUUGUGGCUGAGGCACCAGCACCAGCAAAAGAUCUGAAAGCAGAGGAAAAUGUCACGGAGGGGAAAAAGCCAGGCAAGAUACCAUACUUCCAGUGUGUUUUAAUGAGUUCUAAAUCCAGCCAGUAUCCACUGCGGCCCAUGUCCCCAGCUAUGAGUCCAGCUAUUAACCCCACCAUGAUGAGAGCCAUGAUGGAGCAGAGGGCUGCGUUACUGCAGCAGAAAACCCGUGCAGCUGGCCAGUAACUGGACGACAGACCUCGUCCGGCCCUGGCAGAAAUGGGCAGACCUCUUGCAGUCCCACUGUUGAAGACUCCUGACCUAGACAGUCAUCAGACAGUAUUUUAUUGUAAAAUAUAGUAGUAUAAUAAAAGAGAUAUAUGUGUAUAACAUUUGACUUUGCUUCGACCAACAGUGAUUUUCUAGAUGAUGAUCUAAGAUCACUGUCAAUUCUUGUUCCUGUAACAUAUUGCACUGUUGAGUGCAAAUAUUGUGGGUAUGAGAGUUUCAACCAGGAAAAAACAUUGUCUUAUUCAAGAACACACUGGCGUAUGAUCUUUAUUUUCAGUAACUUAAGGAUUGGAACAACCUAAAUAUGUCCUUGAAUAUAUUCUCAUCAUCCACUGCAGUGGAAAAAAAUCAAAAUGACAAGAACAAGAGUGAACAGCCGGACGCAUCUUGAGUGCUGCUGUGCAUAUGGGCUGCAUAUGGUCGUAAGACUGCAUAAUGUUUCUACUCUAUGCAAUAACUGCAGCAGAAGGCUGUUUCUCUUUAAUCAGGACAUAUUGAGAAAGGUAGAUGUAGCUGUCUGACUUUGAACAGAGAAGUAGGCCAGAGAAAAAAUCUCACUUUGAAGUUACUACAUAUGUAGAGCCGAGAGGAUGUCAACUGAACUGGAUAUUCCUAAAAUUUAUAUAUGAAUGAACAAUACAAAUAUCAAUGACACUGUCUGAAAAAUGCACAAGAUAGAUGUAAUUGUUGUCUGAUUUGGGGAAAAAUCACUGUCUUACUGUAAAUAAGAGACAGUUUACAGUAAGAACGCAAUGUUUACGAGAUGGAACCUCAGCUGUUGAUUCUUAGAUGACUUUGCGUACUAUAGAUGUAUACAUUCAUUUUUAGGGCUUUCAGAACUUUAAGAGGUGAUAGUUGUUGCUCCUAUUUAUUUAAACAGUGACAAUGUCCGUUUCUGAGGUGCUAAAUAGCUUGCUAGGUUGUAUUUCAAUCGAGGCUGCUAAAUUGUCUUUCCUUCAUUAAUCUUGCACUGAUGACAUGACAUGAGGAUGGAUACCUAAAACUUGUCACCCUUGUUAAGGCUUGCUGUGUGUUUAUCUUAUGAAAGGAUAGAUUAGUUUUCCUUCAUAAAGUAGAUAAAUGGGAUUUUUUGGUUUGAUUUAGCAGUUUUAUGUCAGAUUGUGCCAUCAUUUAUCAUCACAUCACAAAGACCUAAUUCACAGUUUUAAAUAUGUGAAACUGUCAUGUUCUUAUGAAUGUUGAAUAAGAUCUGUCAGUGGAACAAAAGAAAAUUUGUGACUAAACCAUUGUUGCUUUUAUCUUUCAUUCACAUCAUGCUAGAUUUUAUCUUGGAGUGGGCAAAAGUCUGAUAAAGUAAUUACUUUGUGCAAAUUGUCUGUGACAUAAUUGUUUUUUUUUUAUUCAUUUGGGUGAAUUUUUGUUUUUGCAUAAAUAUGUGUCAAGCCAAAUAUGUGAAAGCAAUUAUAAAUAAAAGAAGCGGUCUGUGCAAUUCAGUCUACUAAAGUUUUGUUAUGAAUUAAAUAUCAGAGUAUUUUCUAUGUUGAGCAUGAACUCUAGGAAAAGAAUAUAUAUAUAUAUAUAUAUAUAUAUAUAUAUAUAUAUAUAUAUAUAUAUAUAUAUAUAUAUAUAUAUAUAUAUAUAUAUAUAUAUAUAUAUAUAUAUAUACACACACAUAUAUAUAUAUAUAUAUAUAUAUAUAUAUAUAUAUAUAUGAAGAGUUCAGAUGCAAAAGCCUCUAAAUGCCAUCUGAAAUUUUCAUCUAAAAUUAGGAUUUUUAUCAAGCUCCUAUGCUUAGGUUGAGUCAUUUUACUUUAAUGGCAAUGUACAGGUCCUUGUCCAGGCUAUAAUAGUGAAAUAACUGACCAUAAAUAUAGGAGCCUGAUAAAAGUCCUAAUUUUUUAUGAAAAUUUCAGAUGGCAUUUAGAGGCUUUUGCAUCUGAACUCUUCAUAUAUAUAUAUAUACAUACACACAUAUAUAUAUAUAUAUAUAUAUAUAUAUAUAUAUAUAUAUAUAUAUAUAUAUAUAUAUAUAUAUAUAUACAGUGAUAAUUUGUUACAUUUCUGGCUCUAGAACCUUACUUAUUGCUCACAGAAAAUAUAAGAGCACAAAUGAACCAUUACAGAAUAUUAGAAGCAAGUGAUAUCCUGUUUUUCUAAAUGUUGUUUUUGACAAUUUAAUGUAUUUUCAGUUUUCCACGUACAACAGAAAUAUCAAUAUAUCUUAAAUAUAUUAAAAAAAACUGUUGUGAAGAUGUGUUUAGUCAGCAAAAAAAUGGAAACUAAAUGGUUAGUUUACUCGCUACACAUUAGCUCAAAUGCAAAUACUUUUCAGAGUGUAUUUAGUGUUCUUUUUUUCUAAAGUUUGGUAUAAACUGUGUUUUCCUAGCAUGCUGCUACUAUGACCAAAGCUAGCUGAUGUGAUCCUGAUUUUUUGGUCUUAAAAAAAUGUAAAAAGUACCUUACUUUGCAAGACUGAAACCCAGCUAUCAAAACUACAGAGGAAAGAGUACAACACAGGAUAUUCAUUUAAAAAC